AGAGUUUGAUCCUGGCUCAGAACGAACGUUGGCGGCGUGGAUUAGGCAUGCAAGUCGCGCGAAUCCCAGCAAUGGGGGAAGCGGCGUAAGGGGCAGUAAGGCGUGGGCAACCCACCCCCCGGUCCGGGAUAGCCCGUCGAGAGACGGGGUAAUACCGGGCGACACCCUCUUGGGGCAUCCCGAGGGGGUCAGAGGUCCGCCGCCGGGGGCGGGGCCCACGUGGGAUUAGCUAGUUGGUGGGGUGACGGCCCACCAAGGCGGAGAUGCCUAGCGGGUGUGAGAGCACGACCCGCGCCACGGGCACUGGGACACUGGCCAGACACCUACGGGUGGCUGCAGUCGAGGGUCUUCGGCAAUGGGGGCAACCCUGACCGAGCGACGCCGCGUGGGCGACGAAGGCCUUCGGGUUGUAAAGCCCUGUCGAGGGGGAGGAAAGCGCAAGCUUGACCCAUCCCUGGAGGAAGCACGGGCUAAGUUCGUGCCAGCCGCCGCGGUAAUUC
rnacentral:rRNA from 1 species